rnacentral:pre_miRNA from 1 species
AUUCUACUCCCUCCGUUGCACAAUACAUGCCUUCUAUUUGUCAAAAUAUAUAUGUAUCUAGACAUGUCUUCGUAUAUAGGUACAUCCAUUUUUGGACAAAUGGAAGUCAAGUAUUUUGGAAUGGAGGGAGUACACA